CGGAGGAUGCAAGCGUUAUUCGGAAUCAUUGGGUUUAAAGGGUCCGUAGGCGGUUUGAUAAGUCAGUGGUGAAAGCCCAUCGCUCAACGAUGGAACGGCCAUUGAUACUGUCAGACUUGAAUUACUGGGAAGUAACUAGAAUAUGUAGUGUAGCGGUGAAAUGCUUAGAUAUUACAUGGAAUACCAAUUGCGAAGGCAGGUUACUACCAGUGGAUUGACGCUGAUGGACGAAAGCGUGGGGAGCGAACAGGAUUAGAUACCCUGGUAGUCCACGCCGUAAACGAUGGAUACUAGCUGUUCGGAGCAAUCUGAGUGGCUAAGCGAAAGUGAUAAGUAUCCCACCUGGGGAGUACGUUCGCAAGAAUG
rnacentral:rRNA from 1 species